AACGAACGCUGGCGGCAUGCCUAACACAUGCAAGUCGAACGAGAUCUUCGGGUCUAGUGGCGCACGGGUGCGUAACGCGUGGGAAUCUGCCCUUUGGUUCGGAAUAACAGUUGGAAACGACUGUUAAUACCGGAUGAUGACGAAAGUCCUAAGAUUUAUCGCCAGAGGAUGAGCCCGCGUAGGAUUAGCUAGUUGGUGUGGUAAAGGCGCACCAAGGCGACGAUCCUUAGCUGGUCUGAGAGGAUGAUCAGCCACACUGGGAUUGAGACACGGCCCAGACUCCUACGGGAGGCAGCAGUGGGGAAUAUUGGACAAUGGGCGAAAGCCUGAUCCAGCAAUGCCGCGUGAGUGAUGAAGGCCUUAGGGUUGUAAAGCUCUUUUACCCGGGAUGAUAAUGACAGUACCGGGAGAAUAAGCUCCGGCUAACUCCGUGCCAGCCGCCGCAGUAAAAC
rnacentral:rRNA from 1 species